ensembl:lncRNA
CACUCUCAGAGAAAUCAGUAGUACUGCUAGGUUUUACACAGGAAAAUGUAACAAAUAACUACAUUUUUAAUAAGGAAAAGUACAAAUUAUACAUUUGUGACAUCAAUAUUGAAAUGUUUAACAAAUAAUAAUGAUGAAAUAGAACAGUAAAACAUUUCCAUUUGACAUUUUAGUAAUUUAGCAGACGGUCUUAUCCAGAGCGACUUACAGUUCGUGAAUUCAUCUUAAGAUAGCUAGGUGGGACAAACCACAUAUCACAGUAGUUAGUAUGUUCAGAUAGCUAGGUGAGAUAACCACAUAUCACAAUAGUUAGUAUAUUCAGAUAGCUAGGUGAGACAACCACAUAUCACAGUAGUUAGUAUAUUCAGAUAGCUAGGUGAGACAAACCACAUAUCACAGUCAAAUAUACAGAAUACCAUUCCAGUUAAACAUUCCAAACACUGUGUUCACAAAACAUUAAAAACACCUGCUCUUUCCUGGACAUAGAUUGAUCAGGUGAAAGCUAUGAUUCCCUUAUUGACGCGCACAGUUUUGUGUCAAGAACUACAACGCUGCUGGGUUUUUCCACACUCAACAGUUUCCCGUGUUGUAUCAAUAACGG